AAUGUAAAAUGAACGUUGUUUUUGACGCCAUGUUGGUUGUCAUCAAGGAGAGAAUUUGACGACGGUGCUGGGAGAAGGAAAUACUUGUCCGAAAUCUACUGUCAUCUGGUUUUAUAUGAUAAUUCACAUACACUAAUUGAUUGGAUGAAUUUCUACUAAGAUUAGGUCAUUACAGGGUCUGCGUUUUGGAUGGUAUUAAGACUCGAGAGGCGAAAAAUCGAAGUCAUCUGUUCAUAACCUGAAUUUUCCCUUGAGGGUAGUCGGAGAAGAAAGCCAGCGGAGGGACCCAGUCACAGGAGUUCUGGUGUGCCCUCUGAUAGCGAAAACCACAGCUUUAUCUCGUUUUUAUAGAUCCAUAAUAUUGUCAACGGAAUGGCUUGUGGGGCUACUUUGAAAAGGACUAUGGAUUUCGAUCCAUUGAUGAACCAGGCGUCCCCCAAAAGGAGGAGGUGCACCCCAAUGUCUCAAGCCGCCUCGACCUCAUCACCCCAGAAAUAUCUGCGUAUGGAGCCCUCACCAUUUGGAGAAGUGUCGUCCAGACUCACAACGGAGCAAAUCCUGCACAAUAUCAAGCAAGAGUACAAGCGGAUGCAGAAGCGAAGGCACCUGGAGAACAGCUUUCAGCAGACCGAGGGCUGUUGUCCCCUGGAGUCACAACCCCAUAGCUCCAUCCUUAAUGGAUCCAGUCUGCCAGGAACAUCUUCUGGUGCCAUCUCCCCAUCUAGAAAAGAGCAACCUCUAUUUACCUUGAGACAGGUUGGGAUGAUCUGUGAACGACUACUUAAAGAACGAGAGGAGAAGAUAAGGGAAGAAUAUGACGAAAUAUUGACAACAAAACUAGCAGACCUUUUUCUCUCUUUUUGCAGAGCAAUAUGAUGCUUUCGUUAAGUUCACUCACGAUCAGCUAAUGCGGCGAUUUGGAGAGCAACCUGCUAGCUAUGUUUCCUGAGUGAAGCCUCAUAUUUGAUGGAAUACCAAUUUCCCAUUUUAUUAUUGCUAAAAGCUUCCCAUUUGAUUCUCUGCCAACCGUAUUCUCCAGAGACUCAGGGGCUCUAGUUGGACUUGUAGCAGUGCCAUAUCUCCCCUGUGGGCUUAGGAUGCCUCAAGCUUCUGUCAGUGGCAACUACGUUCUCUUCGGCGACUGGUAUUUGUGCUGCGGCCUAAAUGGCACCCAAUUUACUACUUUUGGCCAGCGCCCAUAGAGCUACGGUCAAAAUUAGUGCACUAUAUAUAAAAUAGGGUGCCAUUUUGGAUGAAGCCUUGGAGUGCUUCCUGCUGUCAACACAUAUAUGGACCUCUGCUACCUAUUACUCUACCAGUGGCCUCCGUUGUUUUAAUUGCUGUAUUGAUAUUUAUUAGGCUUUUUUUCUUAGGCCUUUUUAUAAAGUGACCUGCCAUUCCCAACUCUGCUAACCUCGUCUUAGAUCUGUUUGUGCUCUUUCCAACUACAUUGCUGUCCUUGUCAAGCUAAGACAAUGAGUGACAAGGAGUUGGCAUUAUAGCCCAAACAGACUGGCACUCAGGCUACAACUCUGCCACCACACAUUUAGAUUUAUCUUGUUCCAUAAACAUGUUUCUUUGUUUCAACAAUGAUGAGACACACCUUUUUUUAUUUUAAUCAAAUCAACCUGUACAGUUGGGAGGGGUGGUCCACUACAAAA